rnacentral:rRNA from 1 species
AACGCUAGCUACAGGCUUAACACAUGCAAGUCGAGGGGAAACGACAUUGGAAGCUUGCUUCCGAUGGGCGUCGACCGGCGCACGGGUGAGUAACGCGUAUCCAACCUGCCCACCACUUGGGGAUAACCUUGCGAAAGUAAGACUAAUACCCAAUGAUAUCUCUAGAAGACAUCUGAAAGAGAUUAAAGAUUUAUCGGUGAUGGAUGGGGAUGCGUCUGAUUAGCUUGUUGGCGGGGUAACGGCCCACCAAGGCGACGAUCAGUAGGGGUUCUGGGAGGAAGGUCCCCCACAUUGGAACUGAGACACGGUCCAAACUCCUACGGGAGGCAGCAGUGAGGAAUAUUGGUCAAUGGGCGAGAGUCUGAACCAGCCAAGUAGCGUGCAGGAUGACGGCCCUAUGGGUUGUAAACUGCUUUUAUAAGGGAAUAAAGUGAGUCUCGUGAGACUUUUUGCAUGUACCUUAUGAAUAAGGACCGGCUAAUUCCGUGCCAGCAGCCGCGGUAAUACGGAAGGUCCGGGCGUUAUCCGGAUUUAUUGGGUUUAAAGGGAGCGUAGGCCGGAGAUUAAGCGUGUUGUGAAAUGUAAACGCUCAACGUCUGCACUGCAGCGCGAACUGGUUUCCUUGAGUACGCACAAAGUGGGCGGAAUUCGUGGUGUAGCGGUGAAAUGCUUAGAUAUCACGAAGAACUCCGAUUG